rnacentral:lncRNA from 1 species
CGUCUUGGGCUCCGGAGAGGGGAAAUCGUCGCCAUCGUCAUCAUCAACCUUCUUCCCUCUCCAAUUCCAUGAAGCUCUUCGUCGUUCGUGAGUAAUCUAUUCGUAGGCUCGCUGGGCCGUGAUGAGUAGGAUGAGAUCUAUCAUGUAAUCGAGUUAGUUUUGAUGGGGAUUGAUCCCUAGUAUCCACUAUGUUCUGAGAUU